AUGCACGCUGGCGGCGUGCCUAAUCCCUGCAAGUCGAGCGAACGGACGAGAAGCUUGCUUCUCUGAUGUUAGCGGCGGACGGGUGAGUAACACGUGGAUAACCUACCUAUAAGACUGGGAUAACUUCGGGAAACCGGAGCUAAUACCGGAUAAUAUUUUGAACCGCAUGGUUCAAAAGUGAAAGACGGUCUUGCUGUCACUUAUAGAUGGAUCCGCGCUGCAUUAGCUAGUUGGUAAGGUAACGGCUUACCAAGGCAACGAUGCAUAGCCGACCUGAGAGGGUGAUCGGCCACACUGGAACUGAGACACGGUCCAGACUCCUACGGGAGGCAGCAGUAGGGAAUCUUCCGCAAUGGGCGAAAGCCUGACGGAGCAACGCCGCGUGAGUGAUGAAGGUCUUCGGAUCGUAAAACUCUGUUAUUAGGGAAGAACAUAUGUGUAAGUAACUGUGCACAUCUUGACGGUACCUAAUCAGAAAGCCACGGCUAACUACGUG
rnacentral:rRNA from 1 species